rnacentral:rRNA from 1 species
UACGUAGGGAGCAAGCGUUGUCCGGAAUCAUUGGGCGGAAAGAGCGUGUAGGCGGCCCGGUAAGUCGGUUGUGAAAGUCAAGGGCUCAACCCUUGAAAGCCGACCGAUACUGCCGGGCUAGAAUCCGGAAGAGGCGAGUGGAAUUCCUGGUGUAGCGGUGAAAUGCGCAGAUAUCAGGAGGAACACCAAUGGCGAAGGCAGCUCGCUGGGACGGUAUUGACGCUGAGACGCGAAAGCGUGGGGAGCAAACAGG